rnacentral:lncRNA from 1 species
CCAUAUCUGUUGUCGCCCGUGCCUCUUGGCUAUUUAUUACGUUUUGACCUUUUGACCAGUCCACGUGUCAUGACACGUCAUCUUCAAUAUUCAGACUCAAUUUUUUCCCAAUACAGUAGCCUUGGUCCAAACUCGGGAUUUGUUUUUAAAAAUCCAUUUAAUAUGUAUAAAAAUAUAAAUUUAGAACCUCGCAACUCAAAAAGGCUAGAAUCCUGAACCUCUAAGCAUCAAAUUUUGGCUCCGCCGCUGCUAACAAACGUAAACAUCCAUAUGGGUAAAGGUCUAAUGCCAUUACUAAGAUUUAUUCUAGGAAAAGCAUACUUCAACAAGAAAUUCUCUAAUUUCAAAUAAGCAAAGUUGUCUCCUUUGAUAAUUGAAAGUGCUGGAUUAGAGGGGAGGGGUUCUAAAAUCUAAAUUAUCCUAUUUACUUCAAACUUGUAAUUAUCCCAAGAGAAAUUUCGAAAUUAAGGCUAUUGUAUAGACUACAUAGAAAGAAAAAAAUGCUCCAUCACAAUGUAUGAACUAAAAGCCACUUAAGCAGAUUUCUGGCUAGGCCACGAAGUUAAAGUUAACUGCAUAUUAUCAGCCACAUAGAAUACACACAUAUGGCGAGCAAAAGUGCAUAUUAAUGGAGUAUAUAGACAUGGGAAGAGUACCUAAAAAAAGCGGCACGUCGCGCGUGAGAAGGUCGAGAAGAAGGGAUUUCCGUUGGGAGGCAGUGGAGGCGGAUGAUUGCUGAGCGCGUGGGAAAUAGAGGUUAUCAAGUCCUGAAAGCCUGUCUGAUAUUUUCUCCAUGGAUUGGUUACUCAAACUUCUGGCCAUAGACGUCGAGCCCUCCACUUUCACAUUUACAGAGCCCUAGAUUUUGAUUCCCUUUUGCGACCAGUAUAACACUAAAAGAAAUAAAUUCUCCUUUGUUUUGAUUUUGUCUGAGUCGGUCCGGUCAGACCUCAG